rnacentral:lncRNA from 1 species
CUACCGCUGUGCCCCUGGUAGUGCAAAGGCACUACCACCGCCAAGAAAGUCUUCGCAAAAAGGUCCGUCCACGAACAACCGCUAGGCAGGCGGUACUAAGCUCCUGUAGCGGUACUACCGCUGACCAGUGGCGGUACUACCGCCAGCUAGCGGUACUACCGCUAGGGCCAGCGGUACUACCGCCAACUCUAGCGGUACUACCGCUAGGUCCAGCGGUACUACCGCUAGCCACUGAAACAGCCAUAACUUUCGCAUACGAGCUCCGAAUCGAGCAAACCCAAGCUUGUUGGAUUCAGGACGACAAGAGCUAUCCAAACAGCGACGGGAAAUCUUAAGACCAUGCAGAUAUGAAAAUGCCAAUGAUAUAGAGAUGUGAGAUCUCUAUGAAUGAAGAACCGGCAAAAACUCCAACAUCGAAAACAUCAUAGUAGAUGCAUAUGGACUCCGUUUUCGAUGAACUCGAGCUUGUCACGAAGAUGACCAUAAGCUCUAAAACUCACAAAGAGAAACACCAAACAAGAACCAAGAAGUAUGAUGCAAGGAUGCAAAUGGUUUGAGCUCUCAACGAACGAUACGAUCAAGCUACUCACUUGAGAGCCCCCCUUGAUAGUAUAACAAUCUAUCCUAACCAGAAAACCUAUCAAGGGCAAACCUAUACCUUGCACCUCGUCCUCUUGAGCUAGAUGAUGAUGAUCUUGGCUUCCUCAAGAUGGAUCACCUUUCUUGAUUGGGUUGGCUUGAUGAAGACUAGUUGAUUGCUCCCCCAUACUCACUAUGGGUGAGCCACUCUUCAGCAUAUCUUCACAAGUCCAUUGCCACCACAAUGGAGGCAAGCUUCAAGCAUGCUAUCUUCGUGCUGAUCCACUUGAACUUGCACAUCGCAAUCUUGAUGACGAUCACAACUUGACGUCAUACUCCAUGGGUUGUAUGAGAUCUUCCCUUUGACGCAAGCCCAUGGAAACACACCUAACCCCCACAUAGAACUCUCACGAAGACCAUGGGUUAGUACACAAACACGUAAUGGACAAUGCUUACCAUACCAUGGGAUCACUUGAUCCCUCUCGGUACAUCUUGUACGCUUUGUGUGUUGAUCAUCUUGAUUUACUCUUUGUCUGAGAUCUUGAUCAACCAUGUGUCUCUAUGAUCAUUCUUUGGAUAAUACCUUGAAUACCAUCUUGGUCAUCAUAUAAACUCCUUGAACCCAACAGAUGGGCUUCAAGAAGUGCCUAUGGACAAAUCCUAUAAAUGUAACUUAAGGCAACCAUUAGUCAUCAAGUACCAAAACCACAUAUGGAGAUAUAUGCUC